UAUUAAGUGGCCGAACAAUUAAGCACUAGAUUUUUAAUCUAGAUAAUGAUUAUAAAAUCCUUAAUGG
rnacentral:tRNA from 1 species